GAUGAACGCUGGCGGCGUGCCUAAUACAUGCAAGUCGAGCGAACAGACGAGGAGCUUGCUCCUCUGACGUUAGCGGCGGACGGGUGAGUAACACGUGGAUAACCUACCUAUAAGACUGGGAUAACUUCGGGAAACCGGAGCUAAUACCGGAUAAUAUAUUGAACCGCAUGGUUCAAUAGUGAAAGACGGUUUUGCUGUCACUUAUAGAUUGAUCCGCGCCGCAUUAGCUAGUUGGUAAGGUAACGGCUUACCAAGGCAACGAUGCGUAGCCGACCUGAGAGGGUGAUCGGCCACACUGGAACUGAGACACGGUCCAGACUCCGACGGGAGGCAGCAGUAGGGAAUCUUCCGCAAUGGGCGAAAGCCUGACGGAGCAACGCCGCGUGAGUGAUGAAGGUCUUCGGAUCGUAAAACUCUGUUAUUAGGGAAGAACAAAUGUGUAAGUAACUAUGCACGUCUUGACGGUACCUAAUCAGAAAGCCACGGCUAACUACGUG
rnacentral:rRNA from 1 species